CCUACGGGGUGCAGCAGUGGGGGAUAUUGGACAAUGGGGGAAACCCUGAUGCAGCGACGCCGCGUGAGUGAAGAAGUAUUUCGGUAUGUAAAGCUCUAUCAGCAGGGAAGAAAGAAAUGACGGUACCUGAGUAAGAAGCCGCGGCUAACUACGUGCCAGCAGCCGCGGUAAUACGUAGGGGGCAAGCGUUAUCCGUAAUUACUGGGAGAAAAGGGGGCGGAGAUGGUAUUGCAAGUCAGGGGUGAAAGGCGGGGGCGCAACCGCCGGACUGCUGUGGAAACUGUGUAACUGGAGGGCAGGAGAGGCAGGCGGAAUUCCUGGUGUAGCGGUGAAAUGGGUAGAUAUUAGGAGGAACACAGGUGGCGAGGGCGGCCUGCUGGACUGUAACUGACGUUGAGGAUCGAAAGCGUGGGGGGCAAACAGGAUUAGAUACCGGUGUAGU
rnacentral:rRNA from 1 species